GUAUCCCUACGGGAGGCAGCAGUGAGGAAUAUUGGUCAAUGGGCGAGAGUCUGAACCAGACAAGUCGCGUGAGGGAGGACGGCCCUACGGGUUGUAAACCUCUUUUGCCGGGGGACAAACGGCGGCACGCGUGCCGUCCUGAGGGUACCCGGAGAAAAAGCAUCGGCUAACUCCGUGCCAGCAGCCGCGGUAAUACGUAGGGAGCGAGCGUUGUCCGGAUUUACUGGGUGUAAAGGGUGCGUAGGCGGGUAAGCAAGUCAGAAGUGAAAUCCAUGGGCUUAACCCAUGAACUGCUUUUGAAACUG
rnacentral:rRNA from 1 species